rnacentral:misc_RNA from 1 species
AAGUCGUAACAAGGUCUCCGUAGGUGAACCUGCGGAGGGAUCAUUACCGAGUGAGGGCUCCGGCCCGACCUCCAACCCUUUGUCGUUACACAUCUCAGUUGCCUCGGGGGGCGACCCGGCGACGCGCCGGCGGACCCCCCGGUGGACACCCGCAACUCUUGCGUUUCUGCGUCGGAGUCUCAUGGGAAUCUGAAUCAAA